rnacentral:rRNA from 1 species
CCUACGGGCGGCAGCAGUGGGGAAUAUUGCACAAUGGGGGAAACCCUGAUGCAGCGACGCCGCGUGAGUGAAGAAGUAAUUCGUUAUGUAAAGCUCUAUCUGCAGGGAAGCAAAUGACGGUACCUGAGUAAGAAGCCCCGUCUAACUACGUGCCAGCAGCCGUGGUAAUACGUAGGGGGCAAGCGUUAUCCGGAGUUAAUGGGUGUAAAGGGAGCGUAGACGGGAGUGCAAGUCUGGAGUGAAAGGCGGGGGCUCAACCCCCGGAGUGCGCUGGAAACUGUACGGCUGGAGUGCAGGAGAGGUAAGUGGAAGUCCUAGUGUAGCGGUGAAAUGCGUAGAUAUUAGGAGGAACACCAGUGGCGAAGGCGGCUUACUGGGCUAUAACUGACGCUGAGGAGCGAAAGCGUGGGUAGCAAACAGGAUUAGAUACCCGUGUAGUC